rnacentral:rRNA from 1 species
UACAGAGGUGGCAAGCGUUGUUCGGAAUUACUGGGCGUAAAGGGCGCGUAGGCGGCCAUCUAAGUCAGACGUGAAAUCCCCCGGCUUAACCUGGGAACUGCGUCUGAUACUGGACGGCUUGAGUGCGGGAGAGGGUUGUGGAAUUCCAGGUGUAGCGGUGAAAUGCUUAGAUAUCGUCAAGAACACCUAUAGCGAAGGCAGCUUACUAAGCUUUAACUGACACUGAUGCACGAAAGUGUGGGGAUCAAACAGG